UUGAGGGGCAGUACAUUUCACUGACAAAAAAUGGAUAUUUUUUACCCCAACAAAUUAGGUUGCUGAGGUUACUCUGAUGCAAGGGGUAUAAUAUACUCACUCUACCUAUAAAUAAGGAGUAGGACUUAGUACUGGUGAGAAAUGACUAAACUAUACCUAAUUUGCAUUCAUACGCUAUAACUAAUACUAAUGGCUAGUGUCGAAACUACCUAUAAAUGACUAAACUUUACCCAAUUUACAUUCCAACACUGUAACUAAUACUAUUGGCUAGUAUGAUCCAAACCGUCUCUGUCAAAACUACCUAUUGAAAUUGGUUAAGGCCCGCAAUGCGCAUUGCUUUCUGGGACUUCAUUGGAAGAAGAAUCAACCGACGACUGUGGCGAGCCUCGCAGCGGAUGAAGUUAACUUCCAAUGGACGGGACAAAUUCAGAAGGCAGUGGUGUUGCAUCUUUUAUAUGCAUGGUUGUCCUGAAGUCAUUCUGGAACAGGGUAAGUCGCCGACUGAAGAAAAAUAAACAGACUUAAAGGCCAUAACACUGUCAUGUUAUUUGUUUAUGAAUAGCCAUUUUCACUCACUCAGGCUUGCUGUCCUUGUUGCACUGUGCACUGUGUAGGAUGGUGGCAGAGUAGAUUUUGCAACUAAAUAAUAAACUCAUAUUUACAGUUAGUACUAUUAUAACUAAUAUUGCAAUUUGCGCAGUCAUAGAGAAUAUUUUGAAUUUGAUGGUGGUGGUAAGAAUCAGUGAAAAAGAUUUAUGACUGGGCCGCAUGAAUUAUGGAACGAGACUGCCAAAUACAUUUCACAGUGCACCUUUGAGGUCAAUAGAUCCCUUUACUGUUUGCAUACAGAUGUGACAUAAUCAAGCUGCGCUCUCAUUGUUGGAGCACAAUGGACCAUGUAUGCACAUUUGUAAAGAAACUAGCCAGGUGUUAUUUCUGAAAUAAGCAAAUGGAUGGUCACGAUAACUUCAGAUAUGAAGUGGAACCGCUCAUUCCUUAUGGUGGCCUCAGUCCGGUCGUUCUUAAAUUUCUUGAAACAAACUCCUAUGUUCUGAAACAGCCUAUUCCCGUAGAAUAGCGUAACAAGUGUUCUUUUUAGGGUCUCUAUUUAAAAAAAGGAUGGCAGGUCUUCUCUCUUUAGGGUCUGCACUGUCUCUGUGUGUGUUUGAGUCAACAAUGCGUGAGCAGUCUGAUGACUUAACUUCUAUGUGAAGCUGUCAAGAGCUGUGUAGAGGGCAAAUACACUGUGGAUUGGUCACAACUGUUACUAAUAACUCAACCCCUUUACUUUUUCAGCUCUAGACAGAUGACCAAAACAGACCAUAGAAUGUACCUUUAAAGAAAAAAGUUUAACCAAUGAGUAUUCUUAAUAGUGUAUCUUGUCCCAGGGUUGUGUUCAGGUGCGUGACAACUGACAACAUUGAGAAGACCCAGGAGCGGGAGAAGGGCAGCCUGAUGAAAGAAGGCGACAGUGUUCUGUGGUCACACCUGAGAUGAUGGUCCUGAAGAGGAACGAGAGGAGAUACUGGGCAUAUAAAUACAGGCACUGGGCAUCACAGUGGAGGACAAUCAUGAAAAGGUUGAAGACUUCACUGUGCCCAUCCCUGAAGUCCCUCCACUCGGUGCAGCUGCUCUUUCCACCAUACUGCCAUGCUCUGGGUUGUCCCUGCCACCAUCCACCUUUUGGGUCAUCCGUGCCGCCAGCCAUCACCGUGCCUGCAGCGCCUGGGUCAUCCGUGCCACUCCCCA